rnacentral:rRNA from 1 species
UACGUAGGGUGCGAGCGUUACUCGGAAUUACUGGGCGUAAAGCGUGCGCAGGCGGUUUUGUAAGCCAGAUGUGAAAUCCCCGGGCUUAACCUGGGAAUGGCAUUUGGGACUGCAAGGCUGGAGUGCGGCAGAGGAGACUGGAAUUCCCGGUGUAGCAGUGAAAUGCGUAGAUAUCGGGAGGAAUACCGAUGGCGAAGGCAGGUCUCUGGGCUGACACUGACGCUCAUGCACGAAAGCGUGGGGAGCAAACAGG